AGUGGGGGAUAACGUAGCGAAAGUUACGCUAAUACCGCAUAUGCCCUGAGGGGGAAAGGAGGGGAUCGCAAGACCUUUCGCUUUCGGAGUGGCCGAUAUCGGAUUAGCUAGUAGGUGAGGUAAAGGCUCACCUAGGCGACGAUCCGUAGCUGGUCUGAGAGGACGGCCAGCCACACUGGGACUGAGACACGGCCCAGACUCCUACGGGAGGCAGCAGUGGGGAAUUUUGGACAAUGGGCGCAAGCCUGAUCCAGCCAUGCCGCGUGAGUGAAGAAGGCCUUCGGGUUGUAAAGCUCUUUCGGACAGAAAGAAAUCCUAUCCGCUAAUACCGGGUGGGGAUGACGGUACUGUAAGAAGAAGCACCGGCUAACUACGUGCCAGCAGCCGCGGUAAUACGUAGGGUGCGAGCGUUAAUCGGAAUUACUGGGCGUAAAGCGUGCGCAGGCGGUUUUGUAAGACAGGUGUGAAAUCCCCGGGCUUAACCUGGGAACUGCACUUGUGACUGCAAGACUAGAGUGCGGCAGAGGGGGGUAGAAUUCCA
rnacentral:rRNA from 1 species